UCCGGUUUGUCACCGGCAGUCUCACAUGAGUCCCCAACUUAAUGCUGGCAACAUAGAAUAAGGGUUGCGCUCGUUGCGGGACUUAACCCAACAUCUCACGACACGAGCUGACGACAGCCAUGCACCACCUGUGCUCGGCCCCGAAGGACACCGUAUCUCUACGGCUUUUCCGAGCAUGUCAAACCCAGGUAAGGUUCUUCGCGUUGCAUCGAAUUAAGCAACACGCUCCGCUGCUUGUGCGGGCCCCCGUUAAUUCCUUUGAGUUUUAGCGUUGCCGCCGUACUCCCCAGGCGGGGCACUUAAUGCGUUAGCGACGGCGCGGAUCUCGUUGGUUGAGACCCACACCUAGUGCCCAACGUUUACGGCGUGGACUAC
rnacentral:misc_RNA from 1 species